UGCAUAUCAAAAAGCGGAGGAAAAGAAACCAACCGGGAUUACCUCAGUAACGGCGAGUGAAGCGGUAACAGCUCAAAUUUGAAAUCUGGCUCUUCCGGAGUCCGAGUUGUAAUUUGUAGAAGAUGCUUUGGGUGGUGGGUUCGGCCUAAGUUCCUUGGAACAGGACGUCAUAAAGGGUGAAAAUCCCGUAUGUGGCCGAGGCCCGCGCCUAUGUAAAGCUCUUUCAACGAGUCGAGUUGUUUGGGAAUGCAGCUCAAAAUGGGUGGUAAAUUUCAUCUAAAGCUAAAUAUGGGCCAGAGACCGAUAGCGCACAAGUAGAGUGAUCGAAAAAUGAAAAGCACUUUGGAAAGAAAGUUAAACAGUACGUGAAAUUGUUGAAAGGGAAGCGCUUGCAACCAAACUUGGGCGCUGUCGAUCACCCCGAGUUCUCUCGAGUGCACUCGACAGCGCACAGGCCACCAUCGGUUCGGGUGGCUGGAUAAAGGCCGUAGGAACGUGGCUCCCUUCGGGGAGUGUUAUAGCCUAGCGGUGCCAUGCAGCCCACCCGGACCGAGGACCGCGCCUUCGGGCUAGGAUGCUGGCGUAAUGGUUGUAAGCGACCCGUCUUGAAACACGGACCAA
rnacentral:rRNA from 1 species